rnacentral:misc_RNA from 1 species
GAUGAAGAACGCAGCGAAAUGCGAUAAGUAAUGUGAAUUGCAGAAUUCAGUGAAUCAUCGAAUCUUUGAACGCACAUUGCGCCCGCUAGUAUUCUGGCGGGCAUGCCUGUCCGAGCGUCAUUUCAACCCUCAAGCCCCCGGGCUUGGUGUUGGGGAUCGGCGAGCCUCCGCGCCCGCCGUCCCCUAAAUCUAGUGGCGGUCUCGCUGUAGCUUCCUCUGCGUAGUAGCAACACUCGCACUGGAUCGCAGCGCGGCCACGCCGUUAAACCCCCCACUUCUGAAAGUUUGACCUCGGAUCAGGUAGGAAUACCCGCUGAACUUAAGCAUAUCAAUAAGCGGAGGA